ACUCCUACGGGAGGCAGCAGUGGGGAAUAUUGCACAAUGGGGAAACCCUGAUGCAGCCAUGCCGCGUGUGUGAAGAAGGCCUUCGGUUGUAAAGCACUUCAGUAGGGAGGAAGGUAGUGUAGUUAACACCUGCACUAUUUGACGUUACCUACAGAAGAAGCACCGGCUAACUCCGUGCCAGCAGCCGCGGUAAUACGGAGGGGUGCGAGCGUUAAUCGGAAUUACUGGGCGUAAAGCGCAUGCAGGCGGCCUGUUAAGUCAGAUGUGAAAGCCCGGGGGCUUAACCUCGGAAUUGCAUUUGAAACUGGCAGGCUAGAGUCUUGUAGAGGGGGUAGAAUUUCAGGUGUAGCGGUGAAAUGCGUAGAGAUCUGAAGG
rnacentral:rRNA from 1 species